AGCACAUCAAAAAUCGCUUACGAAAGUAUAUAAUAAGCCCAGGGCUUAUAGUCGGAGGUUUACGGUAUAAGAUCCCCUUGGCAAAUUAGAUAAAAAUUUCUGGCGUUAGCCAGAAUAAAACAAUAAAAUAAAGUAUAUUUGGGAACAUGGCAGCUUAAUGGUUAAAGAGUUGGCAAAAAUAUUCAUGAAACACCAGCUCAGGUCCAGCUGCGUAGUGUAUAGACUGUAUACUGUAUCUCAUCUCACAGACAGUAUUAAUUAAUAGAAUAAAUUCCAUCGUUCAGUAAUCAAUAUAAAACAUUACCGUUUCGGUUUGCCAUUGAAAUUUAAUGAAUAAAAUAUUGUUGGUCUGUGUUGUUGUGCGUAAUUUAAAUAGAAUGCACAAAAUCUUGCAUUCCUAUAUGUAUAUGAUAUAGUAGACUUUCGCAAAGUCCCUCGCCUUUAAUACGUCC